AUCAACGACUCUCGGCAACGGAUAUCUCGGCUCUCGCAUCGAUGAAGAACGUAGCGAAAUGCGAUACUUGGUGUGAAUUGCAGAAUCACGUGAACCAUCGAGUCUUUGAACGCAAGUUGCGCCCGAAGCCAACAGGUUGAGGGCACGUC
rnacentral:rRNA from 1 species